AGCUGGUGAGGGGCUCAAGGGCAGCGACUGGAAGAGCUUCAGGAUGCGCUCCCAGGAGAGGCCUGGGUGUGACCCGGACCAGGGAAUCCAGAGGGCAAGGGAGAAGCUGGCCGGGGUGUUGGCAGCCAUCCAGGGAAGUGUGGCACUGGGACAAGUGUGUCCUGUGGUCCCGGGAGGGGAGGCGGCUGGCGUGGGGCCGCCUCUGCGGAAGGAGGCUGGAGGCAAGGAGGGAGGCCUGGACAGAGGUGUUGCAGGGGGAGAGUCCGUGUCCACCACCUGGCAGGCCUGUGGGAGGGCACCAGUCAGGGUCUGCUGGCUGCGGCUGGGGCAGCCCCGGGCCAUGCCACCCACAAAGGGCUGCUGCCUUAACAAACACCAGCGCAGGAGCAUGAGGCCACCGCCAAGCACCGAAGCCCCGUCCCCUGGCCUCCCCCACCCCCACCCAACCCUGCGGGGCUGGGCCAGGAGGGCCAGGACCGAAUGCCUCCAGGUUUGCUGUGCUGCCCCUGCCUGGGACAGGGCAUCCUAAUUUUGGGAUCAAGACUGUGCUUGCAACCUAAGGUGACUCUGGACUGUGUCAUCAAAAUGUGAGCAGAAAAUUCUGAGGCCUGGGUGGCACCAAACAAAAAUCAGACGGCUGCCACCCCCACCCGCAGAGCCUUCCCUUGGCACCUGCAGCCCUGGGCGGGACUGCGUGGAUCCCGUCCAGUGCCGCGUCCCAGGGCGGGGAGUUCGUGAGUGAGGCCGGGAGGGGGGCUGCGGUCCCGGCGGGGCCUCCGGGCGGAGUCACAGAGGAGGGAGGCCGUGGCUGAGGCUCAGGCUGAGGGCAGGUCCUGUCAGGGCAGGAGGAGGUGCCGUGGUCGGUGGGGACCCUCCGGAGCUCCCAAGGCGGGGCUGGCCUGGGUCCCUCAGCAGAUGUUCCGGGGCCAUCACUCCCCGACCCACAGGAGCCCGGGGACCUUCGGGCGCGUUGGGUGGGGGGCUGCUGGGGGAUGCAGACCCCCAAGGCCACCCCCGCCACCCACGACACAGCCGAGCGAGGGGUCUGGGCCGCAGAGCCUCAUGGCGCCCAGGUGGCAGAGCUGAGCUGGAGCCCGUGAGCAUCCCAGGGGGCCACCUGACCCCACAUCCCCGGUUCUCUGGAGCAGAAGUCAUGACGCGCCGGGUCCAGCCUUUAACAGCGGUGAAUCCCGUGACACACCCUGGUCCCUCUGGGCCCAUCCUCAGCGGUCACUCAGUGGUCCCCACGUGCACUUACACUGCGUGUGGCUGCCACACCCUCACCUCCAGGCCUCUCCACCUCCCCACACUGAGGCUCUGUCCCCUGAACACCAGCUCCCCGGCCCCUCCCUGGCUGGUGCCCACCCUCCCACCUGCCGUCCUGGUCACCCUGACGGCUCCGGGGGCCUCACAGAAGAGCAGUCACACAGAGCCUGUCCUUGAACCACCACCAACCACCCCAAAGCCCCUGACAAGCCGGUCACCACUGGGAAAUGUCACUGAGAAGGGACAGUGACAAGAAGUGCUCCAGGGCCCCUGCCUGCCUGCAGGCUGCUCGCUGCCCAGCAUCCAGAGCCACCGCUGUCCUCCGAGGGGUCGGGGCUGCACGGGCCCCGCCGACCCCACGCCUGGCCCUUGGCCCAGCCAGUCGCCCUGACUCCCGGCUGUUGAGGAUGUUGGCCCUGCCGCCAGCUCCCCACCCGAGCAUCCGGUUUCUGCGGAAUGUGUCAACCCCAGAGCGCAGCGUGCAAAACGGUUAGGGCGAAACGUGCCCACGUGGCCCCUGGCCUCAGGCGCCUGCAGCCCCUGCCUCCCUUUCCCCCGGGGCUCGCAGCAAACUCCUUGAAAGCCUCCCGGGCAGCCCCUCCUUCCCACCCUGCCUCCUGCAGAACGAGUGACAAACAGCAAUAGAAUCAAAAGUGGACCCUGCGGGAGGCUCCUUUGGCCGCCGCAGCAAAUCACCAGAGACAGUGAGGGGACAGCGGAAACAGGUUCUCUCACCGUCUGGGCUCCAAAGUCAGGCGAGGGCCGCGCUUCCUUCCGAGGUUCUGGGGGAGGGUCCUUCCUGCCUGCCCAGCACCGGGGCCUCCAGGCGUCCUGGGCUUGUGGCAUCCCUCAGCCUCUGCCUCUGGGCUCACACGGUCCCCUCUCCUCCCUGUGUCUGUCCCCUGUGUGUCACUGUCACUGAUUUAGGGCCCACCUGGGCAUCCAGGCUGAUCUCAUCUUAAGAUCCUUCAUUGAUCACAUCUGCAAAGAUUUUUUUCCUAAAUAAGGUCAUACACAGGUAGCAGGGGUGAGCACCUGGGCAUGUCUCUUUGGAGAUGCCAUUCAAGCCAUUCAUCCGCUGCUUUGACAUUGCCCCUGAUGAAGCAGGGCCCGCGGGAACCCCUGGUGAGGGACGAGGGAGGAUGGGCCCGGGGCACCUUCUCUGGCUAAGGCCUGGCACUGCCCCAGCCCACACGCAGGCGGGCCAGCUGUCCGCAUCCCGGGCUUCCCAUCUGUGUCACUUGUCACAACAGUGGCGCGGUAACUGACUAUGUCAUUCGUGGUGUGGUGGCCGAGGGCAUUGUCCAAGGCACGGAGCCUCACACGGGGUUCCUGGAGGCCGUCCAGGUCCAGGGGAUGACCAGGAGGGACUCCCACUGCGCACCUGCCAGAAGCCCCUCCCGCCCCACCCC